GGGCCCGCACAAGCGGUGGAGUAUGUGGUUUAAUUCGAUGCAACGCGAAGAACCUUACCAGGGUUUGACAUCCUGCGAAUCUCUUGGAAACGAGAGAGUGCCUUCGGGAGCGCAGUGACAGGUGGUGCAUGGCUGUCGUCAGCUCGUGUCGUGAGAUGUUGGGUUAAGUCCCGCAACGAGCGCAACCCACGUCUUUAGUUGCCAGCAUUUAGUUGGGCACUCUAGAGAGACCGCCGGUGAUAAACCGGAGGAAGGUGUGGAUGACGUCAAGUCAUCAUGCCCCUUACAUCCUGGGCUACACACGUACUACAAUGCUACGGACAAAGAGCAGCAAGUUCGCGAGGACAAGCAAAUCUCAUAAACCGUGGCUCAGUUCAGAUCGUAGGCUGCAACUCGCCUACGUGAAGGAGGAAUCGCUAGUAAUCGCAGGU
rnacentral:rRNA from 1 species